rnacentral:rRNA from 1 species
CAGCCGCCGCGGUAAUACUCGGAGUCCAAGUGAUGGCCGCUGUUAUUGGGUCUAAAGCGUCCGUAGCCGGUCCUGUAAGUCCCUGGUGAAAUCUGGCAGCAAACUGUCAGGCGUGCUGGGGUUACUGCGGGACUCGAGACCGGGAGAGGGCACAGGUACUCGUAGGGUAGGGGUUAAAUCCUAUAAUCCUACGGGGACCACCUGUGGCGAAGGCGUGUGCCUGGAACGGGUCUGACGGUGAGGGACGAAAGCUAGGGGAGCGAUUGGGAUUAGAUACCCCAGUAGUCCUAGCCGUAAACGAUGCCCGCUUGGUGUUGCAGUCCUCUUGGGGGAUUGCAGUGCCGGAGCGUAGGUGUUAAGCGGGCCACCUGGGGAGUAUACUCGCAAGGGUGAAACUUAAAGGAAUUGGCGGGGGAGCACA